rnacentral:misc_RNA from 1 species
GAUGAAGAACGUAGCGAAAUCCGAUACGUAAUGUGAAUUGCAGAAUUCAGUGAAUCAUCGAAUCUUUGAACGCAUAUUGCGCUCUCUGGUAUUCCGGAGAGCAUGCUUGUUUGAGUAUCAGUAAACACCUCAACUUCCAUAUCUUUUUUGAAAUGGGAGUUGGACUUGAGUGAUCCCAACGCUUUUCCUCACCGAAAAGUGGCGGGUUACUUGAAAUGCAGGUGCAGCUGGACUUUUCUCUGAGCUAUAAGCAUAUCUAUUUAGUCUGCCUAAAAAACAGAUUAUUACCUUUGCUGCAGCUAACAUAAAGGAGAUUAGUUCUUGUGCUGACUGAUGCAGGAUUCACAAAGACAGGCUUCGGCCGACUUUGUAAACUCGAUCUCAAAUCAAGUAAGACUACCCGCUGAACUUAAGCAUAUCAAUAAGCGGAGGA